UACAGAGGGUGCGAGCGUUGUCCGGAAUCACUGGGCGUAAAGGGCGCGUAGGCGGCUUGAUAAGCGUGCGGUGAAAGCCCGGGGCUCAACCCCGGGUCGGCCGUGCGAACUGUCGAGCUGGAGCACUGUAGAGGCAGGUGGAAUUCCGGGUGUAGCGGUGGAAUGCGUAGAGAUCCGGAAGAACACCGGUGGCGAAGGCGGCCUGCUGGGCAGUGGCUGACGCUGAGGCGCGACAGCGUGGGAGCAAACA
rnacentral:rRNA from 1 species